GAUGAACGCUAGCUACAGGCUUAACACAUGCAAGUCGAGGGACCGGCGCACGGGUGAGUCACACGUAUCCAACCUGCCCUUUACUCGGGGAUAGUCUUUCGAAAGACUGAUUCAUACCCGAUAUAAAGGAUGGGGAUGCGUUCCUUGAGGUUGUGGGUGAGGUAUCGGCUCACCACGCCUUCGAUGGAUGGGGGUUCUGAGAGGAAGGUACCCCACAUUGGAACGGCGGAGCGCUCCAAACUCCUACGGCAGGCAGCAGUGGGGAAGAUUAGUCAAUGGGCGCUAGCCUGAUCCAGCCAAGUAGCGUGAUGGAUGAAGGCUUAUGGGUCGUAAACUUCUUUUAUAUAGAAUAUGUAUGAUAUGAAUAAGGGUCGGCUAACUCCGUGCCAGCAGCCGCGGUAAUAC
rnacentral:rRNA from 1 species